UGACAAGCAUCCCAAGCUUAAGGUUUUCACAUUGUUGGUCAAAUAGUCCAAUACCCUCAAUUCAUCGAGUGACUUGUAGAUGUUAUGGUGCUGCAUAUUGUAAUUCUUACCAUCCAGCUUUAACCCUUUAAGGAGAUUGAGAAUCACACUCAUGAAAGUAAAGGAGAUCACAGUAAAUUACGUUUACUUGCAUGUGAUUAUGCAUUCACACCAAUGUAAUUGCAUCUCUCACUCACUUGAGACUUCAAGGGUCAAGAUGGUCCUACUUCCAAAACAACUUAAAAGUUAAAAUUUGUGCAACAGUAUCGGGCUAGUGUAAAUCAACAGUGCUGGGCUAGUGUAAAUAAAUAGCAUCAAGUCAAGGUUAAGAAGUUUGACUUCUAAUCAAGCCUGUUUCGUAUCCUCGAUGGAAAACCGCAUGGGUGCAAUCUAUUGAUAAUCUAUUGUGGGAAAGGUUUCUAUACUUCUCUUACAGCAUAGAAGGUCUAUACUUUUCCUACUAUCUAGCCGUUCAAGUUUGUUAAAGUGAG
rnacentral:lncRNA from 1 species